CCGGAGCCGAAGCCCCGCCCACAAUCCGUGGCCCCGCCCCCACGCUCCGGGGUCCCCCAUGGUCAUCUGACCACCAGGUGUCCAUCCAAUGUCCAUCUGUCCAUCCAGUGUCCAUCUGUCCAUCCCAAUGUCCAUCCCAAUGUCCAUCUGUCCAUCCCAAUGUCCAUCUGUCCACCCGGUGUCCAUCUGUCCAUCCAGUUUCCACCCAAUGUCCACCCAAUGUCCAUCCAAUUUCCACCCAAUGUCCACCCAAUGUCCAUCCAAUGUCCAUCUGUCCAUCCCAAUGUCCAUCUGUCCAUCCAAUUUCCACCCAAUGUCCACCCAAUGUCCAUCCAAUUUCCACCCAAUGUCCACCCAAUGUCCACCCAAUGUCCAUCUGUCCAUCCAAUGUCCAUCCCAGUGUCCAUCUGUCCAUCCCAAUGUCCAUCCCAAUGUCCACCCGGUGUCAACCCAGUGUCCAUCUGUCCACCCAAUGUCCAUCCCAAUGUCCACUUCAAUGUCCAUCUGUCCAUCCAAUGUCCACCCAAUGUCCAUUCAACGUCCAUCUGUCCACUCGAUGUCCACCUCAAUGUCCAUCCCAAUGUCCAUCUGUCCACCUCAAUGUCCAUCUGUCCAUCCAAUGUCCACCCAAUGUCCACCCAAUGUCCAUCUCAAUGUCCAUCUGUCCACCUCAAUGUCCACCCAAUGUCCACCUCAAUGUCCAUCUGUCCACUCCGUGUCCAUCCCAAUGUCCACCCAAUGUCCAUUCAAUGUCCAUCUGUCCACCCGAUGUCCAUCUGUCCAUCCCAAUGUCCACCUCAAUGUCCACUUCAAUGUCCAUCUGUCCACCUCAAUGUCCAUCUGUCCACCUCAAUGUCCAUCCAGUGUCCACCUCAAUGUCAAUCUGUCCACCCAAUGUCCACCUCAAUGUCCAUCUGUCCACCUCAAUGUCCACCCAAUGUCCACCCAAUGUCCAUCUGUCCAUCCCAAUGUCCAUCUGUCCAUCCCAAUGUCCACCUCAAUGUCCAUCUGUCCACCCAAUGUCCAUCCCAAUGUCCACCCAAUGUCCACCUCAAUGUCCAUCUGUCCACCCAAUGUCCACCCAAUGUCCACUUCAAUGUCCAUCUGUCCACCUCAAUGUCCAUCCAGUGUCCACCUCAAUGUCCAUCUGUCCACCCAAUGUCCACUCAGUGUCCAUCUGUCCAUCCCAAUGUCCACCCGAUGUCCACCCAAUG
rnacentral:lncRNA from 1 species